GAUGAAGAACCUAGCGAAAUGCGAUAACUAAUGUGAAUUGCAGAAUUCCGUGAAUCAUCGAGUCUUUGAACGCACAUUGCGCCCCCUGGUAUUCCGGGGGGCAUGCCUGUCCGAGCGUCAUUGCUGCCCAUCAAGCACGGCUUGUGUGUUGGGUCCCGUCCCCCUCUCCCGGGGGACGGACCCGAAAGGCAGCGGCGGCACCGCGUCCGGUCCUCGAGCGUAUGGGGCUUUGUCACCCGCUCUUGUAGGCCCGGCCGGCGCUUGCCGACACCCAACCAUUUUUUUCAGGUUGACCUCGGAUCAGGUAGGGAUACCCGCUGAACUUAAGCAUAUCAAUAAGCGGAGGA
rnacentral:misc_RNA from 1 species